ACCACCAUGUGUCAGUAGAUCGAAUUGCUAGUUUGCUGCAACUUGAGAGUUGUACCGUUGGUAGCUGCGGGAGUGGUUUGGACAUGUUGUUGAUCUGAAGCAAGACCUGAUUCCUGCUCACUUAAUCUGCCCCUUUUUGUUUGAUAAUAUGGCGUAGUAUUACGAAGAUUACUAGUUGGAUCCGUAUACCACUGAGCAGCAAAAAGAUUAUACAUUGCUUUGUUUUAUUUUCUAAUUCGUUGCUCAGAUCGAUGGUUAGAUGGACAUGGUACUUUAGCUCCGGAAUUCUAAGCUUGCAAGUUUCUGAAUUCUAGGUCUGCACCGGUAUCAUGAGUUAAUCAGAUGCGUGUCACCAGCUAUAGUGAUGAUAUUGCCAUCAUUUUCCUGUACAGAGAGCAGUGCCUGCUACAAUCAAACUAUAGUUGCAUUAUUCUGUGCCAAUCAGUUUACAAAAAAAAAUUGUCCUCUCAAACUAAUGUGUUGUCUUAUUUUCUCACUUUGGCUGGUACAGUGAUACCCAUCUAAUUGCAGUCGAGGGGAUAUGUGAUAACUUGAAACUGAGCACAGAACGUUCUUUCUUGGUUUGCAUUUGGUGUAACCCCCCUUGAUUGUUCUUUUUCCUCUGUCUUAUAAUCCUCUGAUUGUCAAUCCAGUCAUAUAUUGAUGAUGUAUUGAUCAUUGUUUAUCAGAAGUUUUCUACACAUUGCUGCUGGAUAGAGCAUCUAUUGCAACUACAAUUGGCGAUAUCUACACAGAUCUAUACAUAAAAGAUAAUAGGAAGUAAGCUUCUAUAGUGUGACGUAGAGGUAUUGGCCAUACACCAUGAAUGAUAGAGGUUGUGCAGCUGAUAUUCAUAGUUUAAUUACUUUUUCCUCCAAAGAGAUACAUAUUUUUAGCUAUAAUGUGUUACCUUGCUGACAGUACAUCGAUAUAUUCUCCAAUCUGGUUCAACUAUGCCUAUACUCUUUAGUUUUAUGUUGAUGUUUACACUCUCUUUCUUCUGGUCUGGAGUCUUGUAUUUUUUUUUCUGAGGUGUGUACUUCACUUUUAUGUUGUAUACACAGGUAUUUUCAGAUAAAUAAAAGCAAGAACAUUAGAGAGCAUGCUGGGCCCUGAAUUUGGAGAAUCUAGGCGUAUAUCUGUACAAUAUUGUUGAGGUAAUUUUGAAUUUCUCAAGCUUGGUCUGGGCUUAUGGUGCUUAGUUUUUCAGUGGGUUUUGCCGAGCAACUGAAAUUUCCAACUACUUCUAUUAGCAUUAUUGCACCUGAUCAUGGCUGAUUCUGCACUAUUCCCCUUCCUUGAUCUAUUCGUGACACAUCUAAAUUCAUUUGUGGAUCCUUACUCUGUAGUACGGGGACCCUGAGGUCCUUGGAGCCACACACGUUGCCACAUGUUAAUUAUCUUAUCGAUUGGCGUUAGUAGGAGGUAUCGAAUAUAGAUGGACUAUCUUCGUUAUUGAAUUGGCGUUAGUAGGAGGUAUUGAAUGUAGAUGGGCUAUCUUGGUUUUUGAAUGCUAGGUUGUCGGGCACUUGGGAUGAUGAUGUAUGGCCAGGGGUAGGCAAGCUCCCAAACUUGCACGAGUACCCUGACUUUUUUUUUGAGAGUACCCUCACUGGAACUUCUCAAAACUGUCUACUGUAUUAGUCUUGACGCCAAUGGUCUUGAUCUGCUUGAGUUUAUAGUAAUCAAACAUGUGUAUCCGACUAUCCGUGCUACUUGAUCCUUGCAGAAAAACAGAGAAAAAGAGGGGCUCUUGUAAGAAUCUUGUACUAACUUACGGCUGUGAUCCUUGCCGAAAAUGCGGCAGUAAGGACAAGCCAACAAAGAGGAUCUCUGCAAUGAAAGGUCAUGGAGCACCCAUAUUUUCAAUGAUGUAGACUAAGGCGUUGUGUUGGAGCUGUCUUCGUGACUAGCAAGAAGUGGAUAUUGCAGUUUGUGUUUGUCCUGAAGCAUAUUUUGUGCUUCCAGGGCAGGCAUUUUUGCCUCUGUUUUUCUAGCUGCCAUUUAGUUUGCGCCAAUAACCUAAUAUUGCGAUGGAUAAUAUCUAUGGAGUUGUGCAUAAUAAUUCUGGAGUGCCACUUCUUUUUUGUAGCUAGCAUGUAGCCGAUUAAAUUCCAGCCUAGUUCAUAGCAGGUUUGAGUAGAUAUGUAACUCACUGUAGAAAGGUAUUCACGCUAAGAUGCCUGUUUAGAAUGGAAAAGAUGGCUAGUUUGUUGCAGGUUUGAGCAAACUAAUUGUAGCCUAUUAUCCCCAUUAGGGCUGUAAGCUGUAGGAAGAUGAGGACUUCAAUCUUAAUAAUGGCAAUCUGGUUCAAGAAUAAGACAGUACUUCAAUCUUAAUAAUGGUGGUACAUGGUGGUUUUAUGAGAUGUUCGUGUUCAUUCUCGUGAUGGCCUAAUAUUCCCUGAACAUCAUUUGUGCAUUUGAAAAGUUCAUCCAUUAAACUUACCAAGGAAAUAACUUGCAGUCCCUCAGCCUACUUUCUAAUUUGAUUUAUGAGCAACGUGCAGUGGAAGAAGCAGCCUGUGAACUGAAAUAGUUUGCAUUGGAAACAAGUGCUAUGAAAUACAAGGAUUUCAUCAAUUGCCUAUUAGAAGACCUAUUAAAAAGUAACGAUUAUUUUUGUAAAUCAAGGAUGAAAAGAAGACAACUGAUGUGCAAGGACGUGCAGGUACUCAACCACCUAGUGCGCAUGGAUGUGAUGACUUCGUAGUCUUAUGUAGCAUUUGGCCGUUUGUAGUAUUUCGGACUAGCCAACUUGUAAUCAUGAAUCUUAUGUGCGUUCUACCAUUUGGUGCUUCAAGUGUUCUGGAGUAGAAAUCUUGUGGUCAUGGAUGUGACUUUUAAGUUUUUUGGACCAUUUCGUGUUUCAACUCUUUUAGAAUAACAAAUAGUGGUCCUUUUAUGUGACUUGUGUUUCUGGAUGGUGGUCAAGAUGGCCAAACUUUGCUUUGUCAAUGUUGUCUUGUUUUUGAACUUGUGAUCAAUAUAUAUGUAUGUUUGUGAACA